rnacentral:lncRNA from 1 species
UCAACCUUGGAACGAGACCUUGGGCUGCUAUGUCAGGGAAUGGGCUCUUUGGGCCUUGAUGGAGAAAGACUAAGGCGAACAAGAACUAGGCCAGUUCGGCCCAAAGAGGUGUUAACGCAAAUACGCCAAGCACAUGAGGAUCUCGCUAUUUAUUCUCUAAAAAAAAGAGAGUAUCUCGCUUGGGACCCGCAACAACGCGUGGCACACGUGAAUUCCUUUUAAUUUCCAUAUAAAUGGUAUUUCAUUGUCCAAACAUAAGUCCUAGUAAGAAAGUUGCAAAAAUUGAAUCGGCGGAACUUCACUCACACAGAGUUAAUCGGCAGAAUGUUCCUUUGCUGUGCAGUAUCCCUUAAAAGAAUCAUAAAUUUCCCAUGUAUGAGCUU